UUGCUCUCCUAUAAGAGGUCCAGCCUGCCCAGUGACUUAAUUCAACGGCCGCGGUACCCUAACCGUGCGAAGGUAGCGUAAUCACUUGUCUUCUAAAUAGAGACUAGUAUGAAAGGCAUCACGAGAAUUUAACUGUCUCCUUUUUCCAAUCAGUGAAACUAAUCUUCCCGUGAAGAAGCGGGAAUCCAAAAAUAAGACGAGAAGACCCUAUGGAGCUUUAAACACUAACCACCUGCCCAAUCUUAUAAAACCCCGGUUCCUAAACCAACGCAUCAUGACUACGUGUUUUUGAUUGGGGCGACCACGGAAAAUAAUCAAACCUCCGUAAUGAAAACCUACAAGCCACAGCUUUAAGUAUCAACAAAUUGACAUCCAUUGACCCAAUAUAUUGACUAAUGAAC
rnacentral:rRNA from 1 species